ACAAGGUUGGAUCCAAAUGGCUGAAAGACAGACUAGUAUUAGGUUGAGCCUUUCCUGUUGGAGAGGCUCUGACAAACUUAAUUCUUGCUUAACUAACUCUUCCUGGGUGCUUUCCACUUGUGUUACAGCAACAGUGAAGAUUGAAGGAAGUUAAAGAAGCAUUUUGGGAGAGCAGGGGAAAAAGCAAUGAGCCUUCCAUAUCAAGGAUGGAUCCAUUAAAGUUCACCUUGGGAUAGCAAAUGAGACAAAGGCCAUUUGAGGAGAGAUUGAGAACCUGUGUCUACACAUUGUAUGAGGUAGAUGAGAAAAUGUCCACGGAUGAUCUCAAUCUUUUGGAGAACAAUCUUGAAAAAAUUGUCUUUUAGAAAUGAAGUAUAUUCAGAAUGUCCUGGAAGAAUUCUUAGUCUAUGGCAAAAUCGUGGAGUCCUGUAGCCUUCAUGCUUCAUUGAUGGCAACAAUAAAGAAGACUG